GGGAUCGUGGUCUAGCAUGGUAUGAUUCGGGUUUUGGGUACCUGAGGUCGUCGGUUCAAAUCCGGCCGAUCCCA
rnacentral:tRNA from 1 species